rnacentral:rRNA from 1 species
GACGAACGCUGGCGGCGUGCUUAACACAUGCAAGUCGAACGAAGAGCGAUGGAAGCUUGCUUCUAUCAAUCUUAGUGGCGAACGGGUGAGUAACGCGUAAUCAACCUGCCCUUCAGAGGGGGACAACAGUUGGAAACGACUGCUAAUACCGCAUACGAUCUAAACUCGGCAUCGAGGAUAGAUGAAAGGUGGCCUCUACAUGUAAGCUAUCACUGAAGGAGGGGAUUGCGGCUGAUUAGCUAGUUGGAGGGGUAACGGGCCACCAAGGCGAUGAUCAGUAGCCGGUCUGAGAGGAUGAACGGCCACAUUGGGACUGAGACACGGCCCAGACUCCUACGGGAGGCAGCAGUGGGGAAUCUUCCGCAAUGGACGAAAGUCUGACGGAGCAACGCCGCGUGAGUGAUGACGGCCUUCGGGUUGUAAAGCUCUGUUAAUCGGGACGAAAGGCCUUCUUGCGAAUAGUGAGAAGGAUUGACGGUACCGGAAUAGAAAGCCACGGCUAACUACGUG